rnacentral:rRNA from 1 species
AUUGAACGCUGGCGGCAUGCUUUACACAUGCAAGUCGAACGGUAACAGGCCUUCGGGUGCUGACGAGUGGCGCACGGGUGAGUAAUGCAUCGGAACGUGCCCAGAGGGGGGGGAUAACGCAGCGAAAGCUGUGCUAAUACCGCAUGUGAUCUGAGGAUGAAAGCGGGGGACCAGGCAGCAAUGUUUGGCCUCGCGCCUUUGGAGCGGCCGAUGUCAGAUUAGGUAGUUGGUGGGGUAAAGGCCUACCAAGCCGACGAUCUGUAGCUGGUCUGAGAGGACGACCAGCCACACUGGGACUGAGACACGGCCCAGACUCCUACGGGAGGCAGCAGUGGGGAAUUUUGGACAAUGGGCGCAAGCCUGAUCCAGCAAUGCCGCGUGCGGGAAGAAGGCCUUCGGGUUGUAAACCGCUUUUGUACGGAACGAAAAGGUUCUGGCUAAUACCUGGGGCUGAUGACGGUACCGUAAGAAUAAGCACCGGCUAACUACGUG